rnacentral:rRNA from 1 species
AUUGAACGCUGGCGGCAGGCCUAACACAUGCAAGUCGAGCGAGCGGCGGACGGGUGAGUAAUGUAUGGGGACUGCCCGAUAGAGGGGGAUAACUACUGGAAACGGUGGCUAAUACCGCAUAAUAUCAGAUAACCCAUAUGGGAUUAGCUAGUAGGUGGGGUAAAGGCUCACCUAGGCGACGAUCUCUAGCUGGUCUGAGAGGAUGAUCAUCCACACUCGGCCUGAGACACGCCCCAGCCUCCUCCGGCGGCAGCAUUGUGUAAUAUUGCACAAUUGGCGCAAGCCUGAUGCUGCCAUGCCGCGUGUAUGAAUAAGGCCUUAGGGUUGUAAAGUACUUUCAGCGGGGAGGCGUUACCCGCAGAAGAAGCACCGGCUAACUCCGUGCCAGCAGCCGCGGUAAUAC